ACGGGAGGCAGCAGUGAGGAAUAUUGGUCAAUGGACGAGAGUCUGAACCAGCCAAGUAGCGUGCAGGAUGACGGCCCUCCGGGUUGUAAACUGCUUUUAGUUGGGAAUAAAAGAAGGGACGUGUCCCUUAUUGUAUGUACCAUCAGAAAAAGGACCGGCUAAUUCCGUGCCAGCAGCCGCGGUAAUACGGAAGGUCCGGGCGUUAUCCGGAUUUAUUGGGUUUAAAGGGUGCGUAGGCGGGAUGUUAAGUCAGCGGUGAAAGCGUGUAGCUCAACUAUACCAAGCCGUUGAAACUGGCGUUCUUGAGUGUAAACGAGGUAGGCGGAAUGUGACGUGUAGCGGUGAAAUGCUUAGAUAUGUCACAGAACCCCGAUUGCGAAGGCAGCUUACCAGCAUACAACUGACGCUGAGGCACGAAAGUGCGGGGAUCAAACAGGAUUAGAUACCCUGGUA
rnacentral:rRNA from 1 species